GAGGCGGAGGCAGUCGUGGUUUGCCUGGUCGGACGUCGAAUCGGACGUCUAAUGAAAGCAAAUGCCGACGGGCUGGCUGCAUUUAAAGAUAAUGAAUUGCGAUAUAGAUAAACAUACUUGUAAAUAAAACCGGAUCGUGAUAACGUUUACCGUUUGAGUCCAAGAGCUUUUUUAAUAAACAGGACUACUUCAUUAAGCAUUUAUACUCGUACUUCUAAAUAAAAUAGGUAAUGGAUUAUCGUUUAUGAGAUCAUCCAGCAUCCUCCAGUUUAUAAACAAACUAUUCGCUCAAUUUACACUCGAUUCCCCCGAAUGAUUAGCGCCGGCUAUCAACGGACAUUCAAUCAUUCAGUCAGUCCCCUGUGAAUCAUGCUCCAUUAAUAAUAUGGCACUUAAUAAGCUGCAGUAAUUUGUUAGAAACGAAGCAGAACAGAACAGAGCACAGGACAGUAGCAUUUUCCCCCCAAGAGAAGACACCACAAACAAAUGGACGGCAUACCUUGGCAUACCGAACAAACAAUAUCUGACACGCAUGGAAAUAUUUGUAUAAUUUAUGCCUACCUAAAUGCCCCAGAGGCGAUCCCUUUAAAUACAUAGAUAUAUGUAUGGCGAUCUGCAUCUAUUCUAUAUGCCCUGGGCCUCGGUCUCGGGUCUUCAUAAUUUGUUUGUUUAAAAAUAAAAUAGAAAUUCACAUAGA